GUCAUAUUAGCAGCACGUUCUUAUGAUGGCGACGAAGAUAUACUUAAGUAUAAUAUGUGCAAUAUUUAUUUCCCUCGUCGGACAGUGUAAACCGGCAAUCUGGCAGAGUGUCGGAGAGAAUAAAUGCUACACAGCCUAUGCAACGCAAGUUAUGAGAUUUUUGAUUGCUUCACAAUGUAACAACCUAGGGUGGAACCUGUUGUCCCAAACGAUAUACAAAGCAACAACUAUAUUCUUGAGGUUGUCAGUACUUUUCUUAACCUAACAAAUUGUCAACCAGGCGGAAACACUACUGAUAAUUGCUAUGUUUGGCUAGAACUAAUCAUUUUUUAUGGAACUCUGAAAAGAGAUGAUAAUUCUCAAGCUGAAUUUUCAAAUUGGGAAUAUGGAUAUCCAUCUAAAGAAAAAUAUGCUUAUGUUGCAAUGAAUAUUCUCAAUGGAAAGUGGAUAGAUGUAGAAUUUAACGACCCAAGACAUUAUGGAGUCGUACUGGAAAACUAUGAGUGCAAAAUGUUACCGGGUUCCGGAUACGACAUGGUAAACGAUGGGGAUGAUGAUUUAAAAAUGGCCUUUAUAUGUGUAGGAGCAGCAAUGUUCCUAAUAUGCGUUAUAGAAUUUUACUAUAUAAUAAUGUUAAAAAGGAAACAUCGGAAGACUAACUCAAGAAAUGAAGUUUCACAUCGGACACAGCGGCAAUCAAGCUUGGAAAAGAAUAUUUUAUAUAGCAUGGUAAGAACAAAAAUAAAUAUUACACUUUAAAUUUCAAAAUGACGUUAUUCAUUUUGUUGUCAAUAAAAGAAUUUCACAUCUUG